rnacentral:lncRNA from 1 species
GGGACGACCAGGAAAAACUCGACGUUUAUCGAAACCAACGGAGAGGUAACCAACUGGGGACGACCAGGAAAAACUCGACGUUUAUCGAAACCAACGGAGAGGUAACCAACUGGGGACGACCAGGAAAAACUCGACGUUUACCAAAACCAACGGAGAGGUAACCAACUGGGGAAGGGUACAACUAGACGUCAUAGGACGAAUAGGAAAAACUCGAUGUUUAUCGACACCAACGGAGAAGGAGAAUCAACUGGGGACGACCAGAAAAACUCGACCAGACGUCAACGGACGAAAGGGAGACUCAACCGGAAACCAAAUAGGACGUUCAACGACGACUCUACGGGGAAUUCUGGCUGGGAAUCGACCAGACAUUAAUGAAUGACUGGGAAUGGGGUAUACAAUCAGACGUCAACGGACGAAUGAGAAAAACUCGACGUUUAUCGAAACCAACGGAGAGGUAAAUCCGCAUGGGGAAGGGUACAACUAGACGUCAUAGGACGAAUAGGAAAAACUCGACGUUUAUCGACACCAACGGAGAGGAGGAUUCUUCUGGGGAUAAUGAACACAACCAAAUCAUCGACGAAUGAUCGGGAAAAACUCGACGUUUAUCGACACCAACGGAGAGGAGGAUACUUCACUCGGGAAGGAGGACGACGUUACGAACAUCGAAAGAUGAUGUUUACAGACAUCAAAAGAAGACCAGACACUUAAUUACGAACAUCGAAAGAUGAUGUUUACAGACAUCAAAAGAAGACUAGACACUUACGCAUGACUGGGAAAGCACCGAAAGAUGGUGUUUACCGACACCAAAGAAAACCAGACACUUACGCAUGACUGGGAAAUCACCGAAAGAUGGUGUUUACCGAUACCAAAGAAAAAUAACACACACGGGUGUCGACAGGAUAUUGACAUCUGCAAGAUGACAGGGCAAGGCUGAACACUUGCAGGGGGUCUCACC